rnacentral:rRNA from 1 species
UGAAUACGAGAUGCUACGGCGUCGAAGCAGUCUAUGUCAUACUUCCAAGAAAAGCUCGCACUGUCAUAAACAAAUAAUGCCUGUACCAUAACCGACACAGGUGGGUAGGUAGAGUAUACUAAGGGGCGCGAGAUAACUCUCUCUAAGGAACUCGGCAAAAUGACUCCGUAACUUCGGGAGAAGGAGUGCCUUAUUUAUAAGGUUGCAAUAACAAGAUCCAAGCAACUGUUUAUCAAAAACACAGGUCUCCGCUAAGUCGUAAGACGAUGUAUGGGGGCUGACGCCUGCCCAGUGCCAGAAGGUUAAAGAAGUUGGUUAGCAUUCGCGAAGCUGAUAACUGAAGCCCUGGUGAACGGCGGCCGUAACAAUAACAGUCCUAAGGUAGCGAAAUUCCUUGUCGGGUAAGUUCCGACCCGCACGAAAGGCGUAAUGAUUUGGAUACUGUCUCGGAGAGGGGCUCGGUGAAAUAGACUUGUCUGUGAAGAUGCGGACUACCUGCACCAGGACAGAAAGACCCUAUGAAGCUUUACUGUAACUUGAGAUUGAAAUUGGACUUUACUUGCGCAGUAUAGGUGGGAGGCGUUGAUAAUAUUCUUGCGGGAUUAUUUGAGCCAUCAGUGAGAUACCACUCUUGUAAUGUUAGAUUUCUAACUUUGUAUCAUUAUCUGGUCAAAGGACAGUUUCAGGCGGGCAGUUUGACUGGGGCGGUCGCCUCCUAAACGGUAACGGAGGCGCACAAAGGUUUCCUCUGAACGGGUAGAAAUCGUAUCUAGAGUGUAAAGGCAUAAGGAAGCUUGACUGUGAGACCUACAAGUCGAGCAGGGACGAAAGUCGGUCUUAGUGAUCUGACGGUGCUGAGUGGAAAGGCCGUCACUCAACGGAUAAAAGUUACUCUAGGAUAACAGGCUGAUCUCCCCCAAGAGUUCACAUCGACGGGGAGGUUUGGCACCUCGAUGUCGGCUCAUCGCAUCCUGGGGCGGUAGUACGUCCCAAGGGUUGGGCUGUUCGCCCAUGAAAGCGGUACGCGAGCUGGGUUCAGAACGUCGUGAGACAGUUCGGUCCAUAUCCGGUGUAGGCGUUAGAAUAUUGAGAGGAGCCUUCUUUAGUACGAGAGGACCGAGAAGGACAUACCUCUGGUGUACCAGUUAUCGUGCCAACGGUAAACGCUGGGUAGCUAUGUAUGGAGUGGAUAACCGCUGAAAGCAUCUAAGUGGGAAGCCCACCUCAAGAUAAG